UGAUGACCUAUUGUAAAGCACACUCUUC
rnacentral:piRNA from 1 species